CACAAAAGUUGCAGUGAAACGUCUUCAAGGAAUUGGUGAAAUCAAUAAAUCUUUCUUAGCAGAGGUGAAGACAAUUGGAAGCAUUCACCAUCUGAACUUGUUGAGGUUGAUAGGGUUUUGUGCUGAGAAAUCUCAUAACCUUCUUGUUUAUGAAUACAUGCCCAAUGGAUCUCUAGAUAGGUGGCUUUUCCAGAGAUCAGAUGAGUUUAUGCUUGACUGGCAGCAAAGAAAGAAGAUCAUCCUUGAUAUUGCCAAGGGACUAACCUAUCUCCAUGAAGAUUGCAGGCAGAAGAUACUCCACUUGGAUAUCAAGCCUCAAAAUAUUCUGCUAGAUGACAACUUUAAUGCCAAAGUUGCUGAUUUUGGUUUGUCGAAAUUGAUUGACCGGGACCAGAGCCAAGUUGUGACAACCAUGAGAGGAACUCCAGGCUAUUUGGCUCCUGAAUGGCUUAGCUCAGUAAUUACAGAAAAAGUAGAUAUCUAUAGCUUUGGAGUUGUGAUGUUGGAGAUAUUGUGUGGCCGGAAAGUUUUUGACCGCUCUCAGCCUGAGGAGGAAGACAUGUAUUUGCUGAGCAUAUUCAAGAAGAAGGCAGAGGAGGACAAAUUGUCUGAUCUGGUGGAUAAACACAGUAACGAUAUGCAAUCAAAUGGAGAAGAAGUAGUGAAUAUGAUGAAUGUGGCUGCGUGGUGUCUGGAAAGUGAUUUUGCAAAGAGACCUUCCAUGUCAAUGGUAGUUAAGGUUUUGGAGGGUGUUACAGAGUUUGAGCAUAACCUCCAUUAUAACUCCGUUCACCUGCCAUCUACAGCAGCACUAGCAAACGUUGAUCAUAGGGAAGAAAAUGACAAAUCCACUACUCAAUUGUUGCCUUCAGUUUUGUCGGGGCCAAGGUGACAGGCGAUUAGCAAGUAUACAUACCACAUAUCCAUUCAUGAUUAGCAUUAAUAAUGCUUACCAACAACUUUUGUUUUUAGACUUGAAAAAGAAAACUAAUUGGGCUUUACCGACAACUCUCAGCAUUUUUCUUAAAAAAUUGGCGCCAAAUUUUUGUAGGGUUAUUUGUGGAUACAAACUGGAAUGAAAGAAACUUCAAAUCUUUGAUAAGAAUGUCAAUCUCAUAAUUGAUUUAUUAUGCAAAUUUUAAAUUCGCGGAUCAAAUAACUGCAAGCAACCAUCUAAGGUACAUAUGUGCAAAUUCAGAAAUCCGUGGCAAGUAUCAGUAGUAAUGGGUCUCAAAUUUGCAGUAUCUAGCGAAUCUUAUCAUUGACUGAGCUUUGGCCCUGAUCUUUUCUGCUUCUCAAUCAGAUUAGUGGCAGAAACAAGAAGAGAGUGCCUGCAACAUUAGGGUUUACCAAAUACAUUUUGCCAAGCAAAAUUGAGCGAUGAAGUCCAAUCUUAUGGGAAGUUACCUGAAGCUUUUACUAGUGGGUCUUCUGUUAGAUGCACAGUUGCGAAAUGCAUGUCUACACUGAUUUCGUCAGUCUCUAAUUUGUUGUUUAGACACUGAGAAUAUCAGUCUUUAGACAUUGAGAAUGUAAGUGGGGAGGCGAAGCAAGCUGCAUUGCAUUGAACGCUUUAUUUUGAUUGGUUCAAUGCUUUAAAAAAAAAAAAACUUUUAUUUUCCAAGACUUUUGUGGUCAUUUUUGAUAACUUACUUUUUUAUUACUUUUUUUUAAUUACUAAAAAAAAUUUGGGAUAAUGUAAAUCAGGUCUAUUAUAACAUAGUUUAAAUAUCUACUUCCACUGAUAUUAAAAAAACAAAAAACUACUCCGCCAAUAUUAGUAGAGAAAUAUAUAUCCCUAAAUUCCAUAAUUAAAAGGUGAGAAAAAUACCCAAAACAAUUAUUUAAGUGGAAGGUGAAUAGAAUUCCAAAUAUAUAAUUAAUGAAAGAGUAGAAUCUUUGAGUGUGUCCGGACUCGAGUUGAGGUUGCCCUUAGGCGCUUUGAUGGAAAGGGUUACCAACGAGGGUAGCCCAUUGGCCUACUCUUUUAUUAAAUUUAAACUGUCGAUGGGUCUGAGUCUCUUUCUUCUCGAAGGUUUUGACCAAGGGAAAAACAAAGACAUAACUUCUUAACCUUAUCAUUGCCUGUUUUCCAAAAUUCAUCUGUGGGCAUUGAACUUGUGGGUAGGGGAAGACACGCGUAGAACGAGACUAGAGGGUUUGACUUUUGUUCUAUAAAUAAGUUUUCCAAUCAACCAAUUGUUGCAUACUUGAAUCAUUCUGCAGUUAAACCAAAUCCUGCAAUCUCCCUUUCUAAUCAUCCUGUUUAAUCUGAAUUGCACUGCACAUUUUCGGCGAUGAGUGUUAACUGGAACUGGUGCUCUGUUCUUUUCUUUCUUAUUUUCUCUACACCGUUUUCCUUCUUGGUUGAUGCCCGAAGCCAAAGUUUUGAUUAUCCGACAGCAAAACUCUCAACUAAAUGGGUCAACAGCCCGUCAGCUCCUCAUUCCGUAGCUUUCACGGACGGAUCAACGGUGAGAGCCAUCCUUCUCAGGGGAACCUUUGGCCCCAGAUAUGCAUGUGGCUUCUUCUGUAACGGAGCCUGCGACACUUAUCUAUUUGCUGUUUUCAUAGUUCAAACCAACAGUGCUUCCUCAAUCGUUGCGCCAGCAAUUGGAUUCCCACAGGUCGUCUGGGCCGCUAACCGUAACAAUCCUGUUCGAAUAAAUGCAACCUUAGAACUCACUUCACGUGGGAACUUGGUUUUGCGAAAUGCUGACGGGACUGUAGCUUGGUCGACGAAUACUAAUGGUAAAUCUGUUGUGGGCUUAACAUUGACAGACACGGGCAACCUUGUACUUUUCAACAAGAAAAAUGCAGCAGUUUGGCAAUCUUUCGAUCAUCCGACAGACUCGCUGGUUCCUGGGCAAAAAUUGGUGGAAGGAAAGAAACUUACAGCUAGUGUUUCAACCAUGAAUUGGAAGGAUGGGGGUUUGUUUUCACUUUCUGUCACUAAGAAAGGAUUGUUUGCUUCCAUAGAGUCUAAUAAUACUCCGGUACCGUACUAUUAAUAUAGAGUCGGUGGUGUUCGGGGGAUAUACUUCGACGAGACCAGCAGUGACGAGCAGAUACCUAGUAGCAGAGUGUACUUCGGCGAAGACCAGCUGUGAUGAGCAGACAUCUGAUAGCAGGGUCUCGCGAGCAAGUAUAUACUGUAAGAAUUUGGCAGCAGGGGAGCAGGAGCAGGAAUAUUCUGCUCGUCCACGAAUGCACCAUCCGCGAGGCCGAUCCUCUAUUAGAAGCAUAAAGCCAUUUCUGCUACAUUCCUGCUAAGGGUUGAGUCGAGGAGACCCGGUCAACGACAGUUGGCGAAACAUGCUCUCCAGUCCGAGAAUCAAGGCACGAAGGCCACGCAACCACUCACGAUUAUAGAAAUGGGGCAUCCACUUUCGAGAGAUGGGAGGAUAACGAGCGCGAAUGGAGGGAAGGCCUGAGUUCAGAAGAGGCUUAUAAAAAGGUAGCCAACGAAGGUAAAAGGGUUAGAAUUUUGGACAUUAUAACAGAGAUAAAGAAAGCUCUAAAGAACUAAAACUAAAAAACAAAGCCAUAAGAUUGGUGGCUAGCGUUCCCAGAACCUUCAUAUCUGACUUGAGCGUCGAAGGGUUUACGCCGGGAAAACAACCGGUGUGCUCUGACUUAUUUCUGUGUACGCAAGAAUAUUUGGAGAAGAAAGCAUACGAGGGGAGAUCCUGAUCGUGGUUGAGUUGAUCGAGCACAGAUCCUGGUUGUGGUAAAAAGAGUAACCAGAAUCUCGCAUCAACAUUUUGGCACCGUCUGUGGGGAUCGAAUCAAAAAGCUUCUGUUGACAACAAGAAGAGGAGUAAAGCAAGUGGAAAAACAAUGGAGGCAGGAGGAAGUAGUGCACAAGGGGGUGAUAUGAGGCUUAACGAUUCCGUGACGCUGAGGGAGAUAGCCAGUGAAGCACGGGAAAAAGUCAUGUUUGACCGGAUGGAACGGAUGGAAAAGCAGAUGGAGACCCUGACAACCAUCCUACAUGAACUGCGGAGUGAACGAAGGGGAACCCAGGAGGAAAGGGUGAGAGGUAGUGGAGUGGCACCAGGUCACGAUUGUACGAGGAGAAGUCAAACCACCAGGAGAUUUAGUGGUGAGAGAGGUAACUUAUCUCUGCGGGGAGAAAUUCAUAGAGAGGAAGAGCAAUCCCCAGCAAGACAAUUUUUUUAUGAGGACGACGGGGUGGCGAAUGCAGAGGAAACAGAGCUCAGGCAACACUUACAUGAUGUAGAGCAAGAGCGGGAUCAAGUUGCAGCACGUGACCCUAGUCGUGCAGUGCAACUGGAGGAGGAAGUGCGCAGACUAGCGCAGGUAAUUGAUGACAUGCAAGGAAUGAGCAGAGCUCCUGGUUGGAGGAUAAUGUUGGACGGAGAAUCACCGCUCGCGGCAGAGAUCAUGAGGGCAGUCAUUCCAAGAGAUUUUCUCCUCCCAGACCUUAUAUAUUCGGGACGAAUUGAUCCGUUGGUGCACAUAGAGCGUUUCAACGACAUAAACGGGGUGCAAGGAUUAUCUCAAGCCCAAAGGUGUAGGGUGCUCCCACUAUCCCUAGAGGGACAUGCACACGAGUGGUACAUGAAACUUCCUCGGGGGAGCAUUAAAACUUUCGAGCAGAUGUGCCAGGAAUUUGCAGAGCAGUUUCGUGGGGCAAUGGCACCAGAAGAUGACAUGAUGGAGUUUAAAAGCGUGAAGCAGAGGGAGCAAGAACCCUUCAGGAAUUCAUCAAGAGGUUUCAUCGUGUUGUCCUCGAUUUGGGAGCCUUCAACCAUCCUCAGGCAUCAAGGGGAUUGAAAGAAGGGGUGAAGAUAGGAAGGCUAUGGUACAACUUGAGAAGCCCAGUUAUUCAGACGUAUGCAGCCGCAUACGAGCAGGCUAAGAGGGACAUAGAGAUUGAGGAAGAAAAGGCAGCACAGAUUAAGAUAGACCAACUAGAAGGGUUGGGAAAGAAAGAGAAGAGAGCAUUACCAGGGAAUAGGCCGAUCAGGAGGAAGGACCACCAGGCCUCAGGUAGUGGUGCAGGAGGUCGGGUAACCGCUUACCAGCCUCACCAGAGGUUACCACAGUAUCAGCGCAGUAGGGCGCAACCUCCUCGCUCACCAGCUAGGGAGCCUUGGAGAAGGCAUGACUCGACAUAUAGUGGUCUUCAGCCACACUCCCACGGUAGUAGAAGGAGCAGACCAGAAGCGCUGCCACCGCCUCCAACUCAGAACGGCGCAAAUAGAGAAAGGGCAGUGCACAUGAUCGACCAAAACCAGGACUAUGGGCAGUAUACUUCCCUGAAGAUGCCCCUGGACGAGGUGUACGAGGUCAUAAAGGACCGGAGACUACUGUACCUCCCUGCCCUAAUAACAAAGCUACCCAGCAGGAAGGAUAGGGGACGUUAUUGUAAGUUUCAUGGCACUCAUGGCCAUACCACUACAGAAUGCAGAGAUCUCAAGACCCAGGUUGAAGAUUUGGUGAGAAAUCGGUACCUGGACGAGUUUAUAGAUGGGACUUUCCCGAUGGUGGUCUCGACAUGUGAAGGGGAGCAGAGUGACAGAAACUUGAGGCGCGAGCAGCCUACAGUAAGGGUGAUAGCUGGGGGCCCAACAUUGGUCGGAGAUUCUAACAGAUCGAGGAAGAAUUAUGCUAGAUACGCCAUGACUAGUAAAGAGGUAUUCUUCAACACCUCAGCAGCCAAACGAGCAAGAGUCAGUCAAGUGCCAAUCAUGUGGACAUAUGAGGAUGAAAAAUGGAUUCUAUACCCCCACGGGGAUGCUUUAGUUAUCAAGGCCACUGUUGCUAGCAAGAAGUUUGAUCGGAUACUGGUUGACAUAGGGAGCUCAGUUGAUGUGUUGUUUAAGUCAACUCUGGAGGAGAUGGGAAUAGCAGACCUGAAGUUGGAAUACACCAAUACCUCCUUGAAGGGGUUUGGAGGAAGAAAGCUGGUCCCUCUGGGUGUGGUCGAGCUGUCUAUCACGAUUGGGAGCUCCCCGACAGAAAUGACUAUGAUACUGGACUUUGUGGUGGUGGAUGAAGAAGGUCCUUACCAGAUGAUCCUAGGUCGGCCAUUUCUGAGGAUGAGCAAAGCGGUACUGUCCAACCAUUAUCUAGCUCUCAAGUACCGGGUGAAUGGGGUAGUUGGAGUGGUACGAGGAGACCAGAGAAUCGCACGAAGCUGUUAUCCUCGGCAGCAAGGGAAGCAAUACAGAUAACAUCACUUGAUACCCGAGUGAAAAACAAGAAUGGCAGACAAGAGCCUGUAGAUGAGCUGGAGACAGUAAGCCUGAGACCAGAGAAUCCGGGAAAAACGAUCAGAAUCGAGUCGAGACUUAAAGAAGAGCAGAAGAAGGAGUUGGUGCAAUGCUUGCGGGCUCAUGCAGAUGUGUUUGCUUGGACACAUGAAGACAUGUCAGGGAUUGAUCCUGAGGUCGCAUGUCAUAAGCUGUCAAUAAAGAAAGGUGCUCGGGCAGUAAGGCAGAAAAGGAGGUGCUUCAACUAGGAGAGGUAUGAGACUAUAAAUGACGAGGUGGAGAAGCUCUUGAAAGUAGGGUUCAUUCGAGAAGUCAAUUAUCCUGAGUGGAUAUUGAAUGUGGUGUUAGUAAAAAAUGAUAAUGGCAAGUGGAGGAUGUGUGUGGAUUUCACGGACCUCAACAAGGUAUGCCCGAAAGACAACUUUCCCUUACCAAAGAUUGACUAGCUUGUAAACUCGACAGCUGGACAUGGCCUGCUUAGUUUCAUGGAUGCAUUCUCAUGAUUCAACCAAAUUCCCAUGUUCGAGCAUGAUGAGGAGAGCACGGCAUUUAUUACUAACCAGGGUCUGUUCUGUUACAGGGUAAUGUUGUUCGGUCUUAAAAAUACGGGGGCCACGUACCAGAGGCUGGUGAACAAAGUCUUUAAGCCGUUGAUUGGGAGAACAAUGGACGUGUACGUGGACGACAUGAUAACUAAGUCGAAAAUCCCGAAGGAACAUGUCGAGCACCUCGAGGAGACAUUCGCACUUUUGAGGAAGUACAAGAUGAAGCUCAACCCGAAAAAGUGUGCUUUUGGGGUCGAGUCAGGGAAAUUCCUCGAAUUCAUAAUGAGUCAUAGGGGGAUCGAGGCAAAUCCCAAGAAGAUCCAGGCGAUCGUUUAGAUGAGGUCUCCCGUAACCUGAAGGAGAUGCAGAGCCUUACGGGGAGGCUGGCGGCAUUGAGCCGAUUCAUAUCCAAGGCUACAGAUAAGUGUCAGUCAUUCUUUCAAGUGAUAAGGAGAGGGAAGAAAACAGAAUGGACCCCAGAAUGUGAAGAGGCCUUUCAGAGCUUGAAGCAAUACUUGCAGCAGCACCCCUGCUGUCCACACCAAGGGAUGGGGACAAGUUAUCUUUGUAUUUGGCGGUAUCAGAUCGUGCCACAAGUUCUGUUCUGGUGAGAGAUGAAGAAGGGGUUCAGUAUCUGAUAUACUACACCAGCAAGGCCCUGCUCGACGCUGAGACCCGAUACCCACCGUUGGAGAAAUGGGCACUCGCUCUUGUGGUCGCUGCUCGGAAGCUGAGACCGUACUUUCAAGCAUUCCCCGUCUCAGUAAUAACAAACCAGUCGUUGCGUCAAACCCUACAAAAGCCUGAUGCCUCUGGUCGGCUCGUGAAGUGGGCUAUAGAGCUGAGCGAGUUCGACAUUGAUUACAAACCCCGAGCAGCGAUAAAGGCGCAAGCAAUGGCCGAUUUCGUAGCAGAAUUUACAGAGCCUGAAAUAUGUUUGGACCAGCCGGAUAUUGCUACAGACAGCAGCGAAGCCCAAGUAUGGCAGAUGUCUGUAGAUGGGUCAUCAGGGGAGCAGGGAUCAGGAGCAGGAAUUGUCUUGGAAGGCCCAGAGGGGGAGGAGAUCUCUUAUGCUGUAAAGUUAGAAUUCGCAGCCACAAAUAACCAGGCAGAGUACGAAGCCUUAAUAGCAGGUUUGGAAUUGGCUAAGUCCGUGAAAGCAGAUAGAGUGAAGAUCAGAACUGAUUCCCAACUGGUUGCGAAUCAUGUCAGUGAAAGAUUUCAACCGAGAGAGGAGAAGAUUGAGCAGUACUUGAAGAUAGUCAGGCAGAUGAUGAGAAAAUUUGAAGCGGUAGAGGUGAUACAAAUCCCCAGGGAGCAAAAUAGUCGAGCAGAUAUUUUGGCCCGGAUGGCAGCGGUAGCAGACCCAAAAAUGCCAAAGUCGAUCCCUCUGGAGAUGAAGUCCAGCCCGAGCAUCGAGCAGAAUCUGGAGGUGCUGCGGAUAGAACAAAAAUGCUCGUUGAUGGAUCCGAUAAUUUCAUACCUUAGAGACAGGGUAUUACCACCAGAUAAGCUGCGAGCUCGGAAGAUUAGAGCACAAGCCUCGAGAUACACGAUGAUUAAUGGGGUACUAUAUCGGCGAGGGUAUACGCUACCGUUCCUUCGGUGUUUGGAUGAGGACGACGCAGACUACGUACUGAGAGAGGUACAUGAAGGAAUUUGCGGAAACCAUUCUGGUGGGAGGUCCAUGGCCCACAAGGUUCUAAGGCAGGGAUAUUGCUAGCCGAUAAUGCACCAGGAUGCGUAGGAGAAGACCAGGAGCUGUGUAAAGCUGCCAAAGUUUUGCAAGUUUCUCCAACCAACCACCAGAGAAGCUCACCUCUAUGGCCUCCCCUUGGCCAUUUGCUCAAUGGGGAAUUAAUCUGAUCGGCCCGUUGCCAAAGGAACGAAGAGCAGCAACACAUGCAAUAGUUGCGAUAGACUACUUCACAAAGUGGAUAGAGGUAGAAGCCCUUAGCAGGAUCACAGAGAAGAAGACAACAGACUUCGUGUGGAGAAACAUGGUCUGUUAGUAUGGGAUCCCUUAUGCCUUGGUAACGAAUAAUGGCAGGCAGUUCGAUAAUCACAGCUUCAGGGAUUUCUGCCAGAACCUCGGGAUAUAGUUAAAAUAUUGCUCGCCUGCUCACCCACAGUCUAACGGGCAAGUAGAAGCAGCCAACAAGACGAUCAAGAGGCUUUUAAAAACCAGGCUUGGAGCAAAAAAUGGUGCUUGGGUUGAUGAGCUAUCAGGUGUACUAUGGGCGAACAGGACAACCCAUAAGACAGCAACUAGGGAAACUCCAUUCGCCUUGGCCUUCGGACACGAAACGGUUGUACCAGCCAAGAUAGGAACAACCACGCACCGGACAGAUCAUUUCGAUGAGCAAGAGAACAACGACCAGAUGUGCUUGAAUCUGGAUCUGCUAACCGAGAAGAGGGAACAAGCAUCGAGGCGAUCAGCCAUUUACCGGCAGAUGGUUGCUCGGUACUACAACCAGAAGGUGAAUGUACGGCAGUUCAAGGUCGAAGAUUAAGUGUUGAGGAGAGUGAAUCAGAACACGAAAGACUCGGCUCAAGGAGUGCUUGGACCAAAUUGGGAGGGGCCAUAUAGGGUCAAGCAGCAAGUUGGACCCGAAGCUUACAAGCUGGUUCGCACGGAUGGCCACGAGGUGAAACGUCCAUGGAACGCAGCACACCUCAGGAAAUAUUUCCAGUGAGACUUGUUCAUGUUUUAAAGUUAUUUCUAUUCGUGCUCGUUGUUAUUCAUUUUAUGUCAAAGCGAUCUCAUGUAAGCCGAAUUCAGCAAUAAAGGGAUCAAUGAGGAAUUUCAGUCAACUGUAUUGUUAUCGAAAAAUUUUCUAAGGCAUGCAAAGGCUCACCAAGUCUCAAAGCCUGUUUAUGACGAGACCAGAAGCCAAGCGUGCCAGGAUCUGCUCGACCACGCGAAGGCGAGCAGAAUCCCAAGCUUUGAAGAAUUUACUAAGGCAUGCGAAGGCUCACCAAGUCUCAAAGCCUGUUUAUAGCGAGACCAGAAGCCAAGCGUGCCAGGAUCUGUUCGACCACGUGAAGGCGAGCAGAAUCCCAAGCUUUGAAGAAUUUACUAAGGCAUGCGAAGGCUCACCAAGUCUCAAAGCCUGUUUAUGGCGAGACCAGAAGCCAAACGUGCCAGGAUCUGCUCGACCACGCGAAGGCGAGCAGAAUCCCAAGCUUUGAAGAAUUUACUAAGGCAUGCGAAGGCUCACCAAGUCUCAAAGCCUGUUUAUGGCGAGACCAGAAGCCAAGCGUGCCAGGAUCUGCUCGACCAUGAGAAGGCGAGCAGAAUCCCAAGCUUUGAAGAAUUUACUAAGGCAUGCGAAGGCUCACCAAGUCUCAAAGCCUGUUUAUGGCGAGACCAGAAGCCAAGCGUGCCAGAAUCUGCUCGACCACGCGAAGGCGAGCAGAAUCCCAAGCUUUGAAGAAUUUACUAGUGCAUGCAAAGGCUCGUCAAAUCUCAAGGCCUGGUCUGUGACAAGACCAGAAGCCAAAUAAAUAAAUAAACCAAAACUCUAAUACGAGAAGGCAAACAAGAACAAUUUUAUUAAGCUUCUAAGAGUCUGCAAAGUUGCUACAUACAAUGUUCAAAAAGCAAUUACAACACAAGGCAAGUUUAGGAAGACGGCGGGUCAGUAAGCCGAGCAGCCUCAGUUGGCUGUUCCACCUCAGGUGCAGGAUGGGUAUCACCAGUUGCGUCCGGGGGGUACUCGCCUCACCAACAUCAGCAGGGACAGCACGAGGAGUAGAGUUGUCCUCCUCAACCACAAUUGGUUCCACCUCUUCGACAUCCUAUUUUGCUGCCUCCUCGUCCAUGUGUUGAGCAACACCAGCUGCAAGGUCAUCCAUCUUCAUAUCAGGGUGCUGCUUCCCAAGGACGGCCAUGAUGCAACGAUAGGAAUGUCGAAAUCCCUGGUCGUAUUGGUUGUCAGCUUCCUUCUCCAAGUUCUCGACCCGAACCCGGUGGGAAUCGCGGAAAGAUUCGAGCUGAGCCUCGUACAUAGCCUUCUGCCUUUGCAGAUCUUCCUUGACCUUAGUCAGCUCUUCCUCGAGAGUAAUAGCCUUUGCUUGAGCAAGAGAUUCUCGCUCUAUCAGCUUCAGAUUCUCGAGAUUCAAGUCUCCUGCUUUCUUCUCGGCAGCGUCGGCUCUGGUCAUCGCCGAUUGAAUGUCCUCCUUCAUAUUUUUGUCGUAACGGCCAACCUUGGCCUUGUAGUAAGCGGCAAUGCAGCUGAGGUGGAAGGCGCUAUACUGCAUGGCCCCCACCAGGUCACCUAGGGUGCAGCCGUCAAAGUCCUCCAAGUCCUUCUUGCUCACGAGUUUAGAAAGCUCGUUCAUAUAGGGGACCAAAUGCUCUGCCCGAUUAUCAAAUAAAUGGGGUCUUGGCCCAACUGGAGGGGAAGAGGAAGCAGGAUUAGUGGCUGCUCUACUAGUUUCUCUGGUUUUGGCAGGAGGAGGUGGUAGAGUCUUCAAGGGGAGAACCUGCUGCCCAACGUUCACCCGCUUCGCAGUGGGAGCAUCUUUAUUCUGGUCCCGCUUGGCAGCUUGAGGUCGAGGACGUUUCCGAGUCAGAGCCCCGAUCACAGCGUCCUCCAUCCCAGAGUCAGUGGUCACCAAACGAGACUCGAGCAGGUUAUAAGUAGUUAGCAGCUCUCGGCUCGAGCAUAAAUUGGCCAGUACAGCUUCGACCCGUUUGAGCUGGUCGGGUUUAAGUGGGAAGUGAACACCCCAAGAACCUGCAAUACGAACAGACAUUUGGUUAGAGACAAACCAGUAAAGUAAGAACAACUAUGGAGACAAGACAUCUAAAGCGAGCAGGAAACCUGGGACCACGAAACGGGGUGGGACGCGACAAUCCUUCCCGUCAAUCUAUGCAACUUGACCCCAGGGACCCAGAGCAAAAAAGAAUUUUUUUCUUCCAAUUCCCACCACCACCAGUUGGAAUAUCGGUUAUGGGUUUCCUGGUUUUAGUAGUUGAUUGGAAGUAAUACCAGCCGGCAUCUUUGGGGCUGCUUUUCAGCUGGUACAGGUGCUUCACCUCAUCAACUGUGGGCUCGCUUUGGCAACAUCUGUCCCACAAGAUGAACAGACCAGAGAGUACUCUCUACCCGUUGGGGUUCAGCUGACCAAGAGCUAAAUUUAGCCCGUUGAGUAUUCGGACAAAGUAGGGUUGCAGGGGACACCUCAACCCAUACUUAAAACUCCCCAGAAACAAGGUAACAUAUCCCCUAGGAGGCCGGCUAGGUUUAUCCUUCUUUCUUGGGACCUUAAGAGUUAUUUCAUCAGGAAUAUCAUACCUAACCCGGAGGUCAUGGAGCUCGUCAAAUGUGGUCAUGCACGUGAUGAAAUCAAUGGCGUAAUCCUGUGAAUGAGCUCUACCUCCUACUGUCCUCCUCACUUCUGGUCGCGAUGUUUCUAGUGAGGGCAUCUCACCAGAAUCACCUCCCUAGUCCUCACUCAGGGUGUCUUCCGAGCCAGAUGAUCCUUCGUCACCGCUAUUUCGGCCCGAGGAGGUUGUUUGGGGGGACAUUCUCCUAGCACUAGUCCCAAUACUAGAUCUAAUGGGUUCUAAGGGGAUCCCGGGGUCAAAGGCAGCAUCGGCGAGCAGACAAGGUAGGAAGUCUAACUCGUCGUCAUCAACCUCAAUGAUUUUCUCUUUACCUUUCGACAUUCCCUAAGCUAUAACCCGAGCACCACCACCAACUAUUACCCAAGCAAAACAGAGAGAAAAGAGAUAUCAACAACUAUCCAAGACCGAAAAAAUAGGAGUAAUACCUGAAGUAGUGGCUCAGUCGGAGAGAGUGGCUCAGUCGGAGGGGGACAGGGAUGGAUGUUUUUAUGCCGAAACUCGUUCGCCGGAGAAACAAACGUGGAGUAAACGACGAGUUUCUCGUUUGGGGGUUUUGCGUGUCCCUAAUGAGGAACAACCCCUUGGGCUGCCAGCAUUUAACGGCACCAAAUCCCAAGGGUUUCGUAACCCUUGGUUUGAAAUUCAAAUGGAGGGAUAGAUUUCUGCCACAUCACCUCAUCCGUAAUUAAAUGCGACACGACUCUUGGCAGCCUUUUCCUGCCCUACGCAAGCCAGAACCGUUGAGUUUCUACUGUCGGUUCACUAUGUUACCCAACACCAGAAACUGGGGGACCGGUGUUUGGCGGAUAUACUUCGACGAGACCAGUCGUGACGAGCAGAUACCUGGUAGCAGAGUGUACUUCGGCGAAGACCAGCUGUGAUGAGCAGACAUCUGAUAGCAGGGUCUCGCGAGCAAGUAUGUACUGUAAGAAUCUGGCAGCAGGGGAGCAGGAGCAGGAAUAUUCUGCUCGUCCAUGAAUGUACCAUCCGCGAGGCCGAUCCUCUGUUAGAAGCAUAAAGCCAUUUCUGCUACAUUCCUGCUAAGGGUUGAGUCGAGGAGACCCGGUCAACGACAGUUGGCAAGACAUGCUCUCCAGUCCGAGAAUCAAGGCAUGAAGGCCACGCAACCACCCACGAUUACAGAAAUGGGGCAUUCACUUUCGAGAGGUGGGAGGAUAACGAGCGCGAAUGGAGGGAAGGCCUAAAUUCAGAAGGGGCCUAUAAAAAGGUAGCCAACGAAGGUAAAAAGAUUAGAAUUUUGGACAUUAUAACAGAGAUAAAGAAAGCUCUAAAGAACUAAGACUAAAAAACAAAGUCAUAAGAUUGGUGGCUAGCGUUCCCAGAACCUUCAUAUCUGACUUGAGCGUCGGAGGGUUUACGCCGGGAAAAUAACCGGCGUGCUCUGACUUGUUUCUGUGUACGCAGGAAUAUUUGGAGAAGAAAGCAUACGAGGGGAGAUCUUGAUCGUGGUUGAGUUGAUCGAGCAGAGAUCUUGGUCGUGGUAAAAAGAGUAACCAGAAUCUCGCAUCAACAGGUGGCACGAAAACAAGAAAGCAACCAAGCUAUGUUAGAUAUCUGAAUGGAAGCUUAGCUUUAUUCAUAAAUUUAUCGGAACCAAGUGAGCCAGAAAGGGCACUUUCUGUUCCCCCAGCAUCAUCAUCGUCGGGACAGUACAUGAGAUUGGGGCCUGAUGGACAUUUAAGAGUUUACGAGUGGCAAGCAUCGAAAGGGUGGACACAAGUGGCAGAUCUCUUGACAAGUUAUUUUGGGGAAUGCGGUUAUCCUAUGGUUUGCGGCAAGUACGGCAUCUGCUCCGGCGGGCAAUGCAGUUGUCCUCCAACCUAUGUCAAGCCAAUAAAGGAUAGACAGCCUGCCCUUGGGUGCUCCCCGAUUACUCCCUUAUCAUGUGAAGCUUCCCAAAAUCAUAGUUUUGUUAAACUUAAUGAUAUCACUUACUUCACUUUUAGCUCAGACCUUACGAAUACAGAUUCGGAGAUGUGUAAACAAGCCUGUUUAAAGAAUUGCUCGUGCAAAGCUGCUCUAUUUCUGUAUGGUUGGAACCCUUCUGCUGGAGAGUGCUCCUUGCUGUCUGAAAUCUUUUCGAUGAUUGAUAAUGACAAGGAAAAGACUCAUUAUAACUCAACUGCUUACAUUAAGGUUCAGAACUUGGCAACGCUAAAGUGAGGAAAUAAGACGAGUCAUGAUAGGGCCCGGCUCUAGAGUAUCUCCGAAUCCUCAAGUGAAAGAUUUAAGUAAUUAAUGCAUUUUGUACUUGCUGUUGAAAUAAAUUACCUGUGUGUAAUAUUCAUAUUUUAUGUGACACUUUUUAUCGUUUCUUCUAGACACGCAAAAUGCUGGAAUUUUAAAUUUAUUUUUCAAAAGAAAAAAAAUGUAGAGGAUUUUGCAAUUGAGAUGCAAACAAUUUUUGCGUUGUUUUCAUUCUCGUCCUAUCUGCAUAUAACAAACAAUCUCAUUUUUUGGUAAACAAACAGGAAUGAAUUAAAGAAAUAAGUAAAAUUAGUAACGAAUUAAGGGAAAGAAAAUAUUAACAUUAAUUUUUAGAGGAAAAAUAUAUAUGACGUCCUUUAUAAGAUUUUACAUAUAAAUGAAUUAUUUAAGAUUUAGAAAUAUCUAUUUCAAAAAAAAAAAUUGUAUUAGCUCUAUCGAUAAAAUUAUAUGAUUUAUUUCCAAUCAUUCUCUCAUAAAACAACAAUCUUCAAAAUACUUCAUUAACUAUUAUAAAACCCAACUUACCUCUUAUUUUUGUUAAAAGACAAAAAAAAAUUCAUCAAGCUGCACCCCCAUUUUUCCAAAAUUUUUUAAACAAAAAUGAAGUAAAUUAAAGUUAUGGUAUUUUGAAAAUUGUUAAUCCACAAUGAAUAAUCCAAAAUUAACUCUCAUUUUUUCUACCUUAUGAAUUUGCUGAUGCAGCCAUCCUUCUGAGGAGAGCCUCAGGCUCCUGAUAUGCAUGUGGCUACUUCUGUAACGGAACCUGUGACGCUUAUCUUUUUGCUGUUUUCAUCGUUAGACAGCGUCGGUGGUAAUGGCUCCUGGGCAAAAAUUGGCGGAAGGGAAGAAACUUACAGCUUGUGCUUGAUGGAGGUUUUUCUGUCACUCAUGAAGGAUUGUUUGCUUUGCUUUCAUAGAGUCUAAUAGUUCUUCAUUACGCAGUGUAUUACGAAAACAGAGCGAGAGGCAUUAAAACAAGUAAGGAACCAGGCUAUAUGUAUGUUCUUGGCACUAUUGAUUAGAUCCCCUGAAUCAAGUUAUCCGGUUUCCAUCGCCAGCACAUUACACGAGAUUGUGGCCCUGAUGGACAUUUAAAACUUUUAACACUCAAAGGGUAAGCAGAAGUGUGGGAUCUCUUCACAAGUUAUUUUAGGGAAUUAAUGCGGUUAUCCUAUGGUUUGCGUGGAAGUAUGGCAUCUGCCCUGGCGGCAGGCAAGGAAGCUAAUGAAUGAUAUAGACAGCCUGCCGUUGGGUGCUCCCGGAUUACUACAUUAUCAUGUGAAGCUCCGCAAGAUCGCCGUUCUGUCGAGAUUAAUCGUGUCACUUUCUUCAUCUUUAGCUCAGACCUUACGGAUAUAGAUUCGGAGACAUGUAAUUGUAAACAUGCCUGCUUAGUGAAUUGCGCGUGCAAAGCUGCUCUUUUUCGGAAUGGUUGGAACUCUUCUGCUGGAAAUUGCUACCCAAUAUCUGAAAUCUUUAAUUUUGAACAAUGAAUAAUGAGAAGGAAAAGACUCAUUAUAACCCAACUGUUUACAUUAAGGUUCAGAGCUUGCCGGUGCCAUGUGCAAGUACAGGUGGAAAGAAAACGGUUCAGGCAAAUAAAUAUAUUUCGGGUUCAGCCUUGGAUCUUUCUUUGGCUUCUUAGUUUUGAUCAGUGUCUUGAUCUAUUUCUUUUGGAAGAAGAAAAACAUUGCUGAUGAAACUGAUCAGGAAGAUUAUUUGAUUUUGUCGAAAAUGAUCGACUGGGACCAGAAUUGUGACUUGUGAUGACCAUGAGAGGAAAUCCAGGCUAACUAUUUGGCUACGGGAUGGAAUAUCUGUAGCUUUAUUUGGAGCUGUAGUGUUGGAGAUACUGGGCAUGCGGAAAAUCUUUGACCGCUCUCAGGUGUAGGAGGAAGAGAAGUAUAAGCUAAGCCUUUUCAAGAAAGGCCAAAGCAGUGGAGGAAAAAUAGUCGGACAUGGUGGAUAAACACAGAAAGGAUAUACACUCAAAUGGAGAACAAGUACUGAAUAUCAUGAAAGUGGCUUCAGGAAAGUGAUGAUGAAAUAAUUGCAGAUCAACAGAAAUAUUAGCAUAAGUUGAUCGUUUGGAAGAAAAUGAUAAACCCACUACUGUGUUUUUGCCUUCAGUUUUGGACCCGGAAACGCUGGCUGAUUAAGAGCAGUUCUUUAUAAUUGGCAUUGAAGCCACCUGAAAGUUAAACAAUGUUCAGAUUCCAGAACCCGAUCUUCUUAUUUAAUUUGUCUUUGUUUCAAAAAUCUAAAACCACUUGACUAUAUUCUUCUUUUUUGUCUUUUUUUAAUUCAACACUAACCUCUUCUAGCAAUUCGAUUUUCUUCCAUGUUUUAUUCACCUCAAACCUACUCAGACAAAUUUUUGAGGCAUUGGGUUUUAUCACCUUUUUGGAUCCCCGUUGGGAAUCAAUACGCAAAAAAAAAAAAAAAAAAAAUCAAUCUCUUUUAGUCUUUACCGACAGCUUUCACUUUCAGCAACUUCCUGAAAAGAUUUUCAAUUAGUUUUUCAGUUCGAAAGGUGCCAAAUUCAUAAAGGGUUUAUCAUGCCUAAAACUAAAAGCUCAAAUUACAGUUGAGGAUAUAAUAACUUCUAUUAAGGAUAAAACAUCUAUUUUACACAAUUUUUAAAAACAAAGAAUUGACUGAGCAACAGAAGUACAUCGACCGAAGUGAUUGAUUACAGCGGGCCCCCAAAAAAAAAAGAUAGCAAUUUCGAAAAGCGUUUGAUUUAUGAUCUAAAAAGAUAGAUGCAAUUUGAAAUAUUUACUGCUAAAAUAUAAGUUGAAUAUGAUAAAACAAAACAAAAAUGGAAAUAUUUUGUAUUGUGUCACGGCCAAUAAAAUGCAAAAGGAAUCUACCAAAUUACCAUAGAUUUGGCCAUAUCCAGUUUCAUUUACUGAGUAUUAUCAGAGAUCAAAAUGACAUAGGAUGCAAAACAUAAAUCAUAUCAUUAUAUACGAAUAAUUUGUAUUCAAUAUAAAAGGUCCCAGAACCAAUAAAAAGUUUAUCUCAAGCUUUUUACUAGUGGGUCUUUAAUUGGUUGUUUAGUUUAGACAUUGAGAAUGCAAAUGGCGAAGCAAGCUGUAAUAGAUUGAACGCUUUAUUUUGACUUCUUCAAUGCUUCAAAUAUAUUAUUGCACUUUUUGAGGACUUUUAUGGGUCAUCUUUUGAUAAAUUGUAUUGUACUCCUUUAUUGGUUUUACACUACCAUGCACGGACUCUGCUUCUUGAGUGUUUGACUCACGGCAAAACUGAAAUGAAAAAACAGAACCUUUUUGUGGAACAUUAAAACAUGAAUAUCCUUUUUCUUAUGUCUAUCUUUUAAUAAAUACGUAUAGAAAAAUGGUAAGAGAAGAGAAAGUUGAGAGAAAGUUGAGUGAAAUAAUAAAGAAAAUUAUAAUCAAAGUUGGUUGGUGUGAGUGGUUCGGCACUCUAGAAAGGUAAGGGGUUCAAGCUCCGUUCUCGUAUGGAGUCACCACUUUAGCCAGUAUUUUACCCCUUAUGGGCCGACCCGGUGCGAGCGGGGAUUAAUCUGAAUUGUGGUACGGGCUUAAAAGUGCCUCCCACAGUUGGGGCCUACUCAGGACCACCUCGUGGUCCAAACAAAAAAAAAAAAAAGAAAAUUGUAGAGACAGAAUAGAUGGAUAGAGAGAGAGAGAGAGUGAAUUUCUCUCAGCUUUCUCUCAUCUAGGGAUGGCAAAAUCCGGGUCCAGGUCCGGGUUUAGCCUUCCUGGUUCCGGACCCGGACGCCAUUUUCUUUCUCCCGGAUCCGGAUUAAAACCCGAUUUUUUCACUCCGGGUCCGAUACGGGUUCAACCCGGAAAAAUCCAGAUUUCCGGAUUCCGGGUUUCAAACCCGGAUACCUAUAUGAAUUUUUCUUUUCCACUUCUCUUAAGGCCAUGGAUACAAUGGAAAAAAUGGUACAGUCGCAUAGCAAUUUCACCCAAAAAAGCAAAAGCAGCAGAAUGUGAAGCAAUGCAAUUAUAGAAUCCAACUACUACAACAAAUAAGCAAGCAAAAGAACACAACUUCUUCACGUCCCUGGGUUUCUCUUUGCCAUCAUCUUUUACGAUUACACUUCCCGGCACCGGCGCCGACGACGGAGGGAGAGGGGCACGAAUCUGGUGGUCAUCGGAUGGCUGAGCCUGAAGCUGAUAAGGGCGCCAGCAACAUUAUCGGAGAUGGACGAUGAGAGAUCAUCAAAGUUGAUGAACACGCCUUGCGAUGGCCUCCUUUGAUGGCGGCUUGAUUUUUCUGACAUUUUUUUCCUUUUUUGGACAAAACAAAAGUGAAAAGAGAGAGAGAGAGAAUGAAGCUUUGUAAAAAGAAGAAGAAGAAGAAGAUAGGCAAAUGUAUGGGGGAGUGUAUGGUGAGAUUUGAGUUAUUAUAUAAAGAAAAAAGAAAUGAAUUUGAGUGAGUGAAUGAGAUUUGAAGCCGUCACUGCAAACUAGGGUUUCCUCUUUUUUGACUUUUUGCUUUUUUAUUUAUAUUUUAAAAAAAUUAAAAAUAUAAUAUUAAGAAUAAAGACAUCCGGGUCCGGGUUCCGGAUAUGCGGGUUGGCCUAUUCCGGAUCCGGACUCGGAUACAUCCGAGUUUAUUAAAUUGCUUCCGGAUUCCGGAUUUUUUUGUUUUCGGUGCGGGUUGAACUCGAUCCGGAUUUUCCAGGUUCGUGCGGGUCCGGGCUGGAUCCGGGUUAUUUUGCCAUCCCUACUCUCAUCUUUCGCUCCCCCUAAUACCACUCGUACGUAUAUGGGCCCUGCCCAGUGGAUGGAUGAGUCAUGACUCAUGAGUGUGUCGGUGGGUGGACGAUGCAGAAUAGAGAUAAGGACACUGCAGGGUGGAAUUCUGUCCCUUUAAUAAAAUUUUUCAGUCGAUCUCUUAUUUUAUCAUUGAAAUACUCUGCAAGUGAAAAAAAAUCCUGCAGUCUCCUUUCCAAAUCAUUUCGUAUUACACUCUUCAUUGUAGGCGAUGAGUGUCAGUCGGAACUGGUGUUCUGUUCUUUUCUUUCUUAUUUUCUCUACGCCAUUUUCUUGCUUGGUUGAUGCCCGAAGUUUUGAUUAUCCGACAGCGAACCUCUCUACUUCAUGGACCAACGGCCCGUCAGCUUCUCAGUCGGUAGAUUUCAGGGACGGAUCAGCGGUGAGAGCCAUCCUUCUUAGGGGAACCUUUGGCCCCAGAUAUGCAUGUGGCUUCUUCUGCAAUGGCAGCUGUGACUCUUAUCUAUUUGCUGUUUUCAUAGUUCAGACCGAUAGUGUCUCCUUAAUCGUUUCUCCAGCUAGCGGAUUUCCACAUGUUGUCUGGUCUGCUAAUCGUAACAAACCUGUUCGAAUAAACGCAACCUUAGAACUCACUUCAGAUGGGAACUUGGUCUUGCAAGAUGCUGACGGAGCUAUUGCUUGGUCGACGAAUACCAGUGGUAAAUCUGUUGUGGGCUUAAACUUGACAGACAUGGGCAACCUCGUACUUUUUGACAAGAAUAAUGCAGCCGUUUGGCAAUCUUUCGAUCAUCCAAUAGACUCUCUGGUUCCUAGCCAAAAAUUGUUGGAAGGGAAGAAACUUACAGCUAGUGUUUCAACCACGAAUUGGACGGAUGGAGGUCUGUUUUCAUUUUCUGUCACUAACGAAGGAUUAUUUGCUUUCAUAGAGUCUCAUAAUACUUCAGUACCGUAUCAUGAAUUACUUAGAGCCACAAAAACAAGUAAGGAACCAAGCCAUGCUAGAUAUCUGAAUGGAAGCUUAGCUUUCUUCAUAAAUUCCUCCGAACCAAGGGAACCAGAUGGGGAAGUUUCUGUUCCUCCAACAUCAUCAUCCCCGGGACAGUACAUGAGAUUGUGGCCUGAUGGACAUUUAAGAGUUUACGAGUGGCAAAGAAUGUGGAUAGUAGUGGCGGAUCUCUUGAUGAGUGACCUUUGGGAUUGCGAUUAUCCUCUGGUUUGCGGUAAGUAUGGCAUCUGCUCUCGGGGGCAAUGCAGUUGUCCUGCAACCUAUUUCAAGCUAUUAGAUGAUAGACAGCAUGCCCUUGGGUGCUCCCAGAUUACUUCCUUAUCAUGUGAAGCUUCGCAAGAUCAUAGAUUUGUUGAACUCAAUGACGUCGCUUACUUCGCGUUUAGCUCAUCUAGCUCAGACAUUACGAAUACAGAUUCAGAGACAUGCAAACAAGCCUGUUUAAAGAAUUGCUCGUGCAAAGCUGCUCUUUUUCAGUAUGGUUUGAACUCUUCUGCUGGAGAUUGCUACUUACCAUCUGAAAUCUUUUCAAUGAUGAAUAAUGAGAAGGAAACGACUCAUUAUAACUCAACUGCUUACAUUAAGGUUCAAAACUUGCCAAUGCCAGGUGCAAGUCCUGGAGGAAAAGAGACGAGCCACAGAAAAAGAAUAAUGGGGUUCAUCCUUGAAUCUUUCUUUGGUUUAUUAGUUCUAAUUGGUAUCUUGAUCUUUUUCUUUCGAAAGAAAAAUGGUGCUGAUGAAAUUGAGGAAGAUUAUUUAGAUCAAGUGCCAGGACUACCCAAAAGAUUCUCUUUUGAAGAGUUGAAAGUCAUGACAGACAAUUUCAGAAAGAUGCUGGGUAAGGGGGGUUUUGGCUCAGUCUUUGAGGGGACACAAACUGAUGGCACAAAAGUUGCAGUGAAACGUCUCGAAGGAAUUGGUGAAAUCAAUAAAUCUUUCUUAGCAGAGGUGAAGACAAUUGGAAGCAUUCAUCAUCAGAACUUGGUGAGAUUGAUAGGGUUUUGUGCUGAGAAAUCUCAUAACCUUCUUGUUUAUGAAUACAUGCCGAAUGGAUCUCUAGAUAGGUGGCUUUUCCAUAGAUCAGAUGAGUUUAUGCUUGACUGGCAGCAAAGAAAGAAGAUCAUCCUUGAUAUUGC
rnacentral:lncRNA from 1 species